AUGGCUACCUCCUCCAAAACUGCGGAGGAUCAUUGCUUUCCCCUUCCCUGUCAGUCCCUUCUUAUGAUUCAAGGAAACAAACAAACCAACAACCGAUCAUACGCUCAGUUUAUAAGGGUUUUUUUUUGUUCCUUGCUCCAGGAUAUUGUGACAUAUUUCUGCAUCACGGAGCACCUGCGAUGGGUCACAAUGACAGGUGAGCCAGGCAGUGACCGUCGGAAAAGCGUGAGGUGUUCAGAGCAUCCUUCCCCUACAUACCAUGAUGUUUCUCACCAAUGUUUUUUAUGGCUCCUCCAGAGCCGGCCGUGUUGGAAAGGAAAUCUGUCCCGGUCGCUGCAAGUCGUCCUGUCUGCCCAGUGAAUAUGCAGUUCUCUCAUAUAAAUGCGAUCAUCCUGACCAUGUCUUCUGCUGCAAACAUUCAGGUAACUUAGCGGCUGCUAUACAUGAAAAAUAGGGGUGUUUCUCUAACUUUUUGAAGGAAAAACGCCCAAGCGGGAAAAAGAGGCAACACAACAUUUUACAAAGUUAUUGCACCAACCAAGUUAUAUGGAAAUGCU
rnacentral:lncRNA from 1 species